AAAAUAAUGUGUGUCCAUACACGUCAACAAAAUUUUGGACGGGGAAGUAGGGAACUAAACACGGCCAUUAUCAGUUUAUCACCUUAUCCACUGCUCCUGCACUCCGCGCAGUCUACCGGCGGCGAGCAAUGGAAGCCGCUCUCCUCCGUCCUCCUCCCCUCGCUGCCCGAGGCGGCGUCAGCAUCGCCAUCGCCUUCUCCGUCUCUCGACUCCCUUCCGCCGCCGCCGCCGCCGCUGCGGGGAAGCCCAGGAAGCUCGCUCCCCCCGCAUGCCGCUGCCGCGCCACGCCGCAAUGGCAGCUCGAUUUCCUGGGCGCGGAAGCGGACACGGAGGCAGACGGCGGCGACGACGACGACGACCUCGACCUCGACCUCUCCCUCCCCGCCGAGACCAACGACUGGUGCGUCCGCGCGCGCCGCUCCGCUCUCCGCUCCAUCGAGGCGCGUGGCCUCUCCCCCUCGCUCCAGCGGAUGGUGGCCUCGCCCAAGAAGAAGAACAAGAAGAAGAAGUCCAAGAAGACGAACUUGAAGCAGAAGAAGGCCGCCGAGCCCAAGCCUCCUCGCGACACCGACGACGAUGAGGACGACGAGGAGGAAGCGGACGAUGAUCUGGAGGCCCUCCUGGCAGGAGGGGGUGAGCUGGACGACCUCGAGCUCAGGGUCGCGCAGUUCGCCGAUGGCAUGUUCGACGAAAAGCGCCAGAGGAACAGGGAGCAGUUCAUCCAGACGCUCUCCGCCUUCUCACCCGCCGCGCCGUCCAACCGGAGCCAGGAGGUGUCCCUCAACAGGUCCAUCGUCGAGGCUCGCACCGCCGACGAGGUGCUCGCGCUCACCGCCGAGGUGGUCGCCGCCGUGGCCAAAGGCCUCAGCCCGUCCCCGCUCACGCCGCUCAACAUCGCCACCGCGCUCCACCGCAUCGCCAAGAACAUGGAGGCGGUGUCCAUGCUACAGACGCACCGGCUCGGCUUCGCGCGCAGCAGGGACAUGUCCAUGCUCGUGGGGCUGGCAAUGGUGGCCCUGCCGGAAUGCUCACCGCAGGGUGUUUCUAACAUCUCCUGGGCUUUGUCCAAGAUUGGGGGUGACCUGCUCUACUUGCCGGAGAUGGAUAGGAUUGCCCAGGUAGCCAUCACCAAGGUUGACAGCUUCAAUGCACAGAAUGUUGCCAAUGUAGCCGGAUCAUUCGCUUCCAUGCGCCACUCAGCACCGGACCUUAUCUCAGCAUUGACCCGGAGAGCAGCAGAACUAGUGUACACCUUCAAGGAGCAAGAGCUCGCCCAGUUCUUGUGGGGAUGCGCUUCUCUUAACGAGUGUCCGUAUCCUCUACUUGAUGCACUUGAUACUGCUUGCAGGGAUGCUCCUAGUUUCGAUUGCCAUCUACAUGAUACAGUGCCUGGCAUGUGGCAGAGCUCAGACAAAGAAGCUUCUAGCCUGAAAAACAGUAGCAAUGCCUAUGCUCUGAACUUUACCCGAGAUCAGAUUGGAAAUAUUGCUUGGUCCUAUGCUGUUUUAGGCCAAAUGGACCGUCCGUUCUUCUCAGGGAUCUGGAAAACUCUAAGUCAAUUUGAAGAACGGAAAAUCUCAGAUCAGUAUAGAGAAGAUAUGAUGUUUGUUUCACAAGUUUAUCUUGCAAAUCAGUCUUUGAAGCUAGAAUACCCACAUCUUGAUAUGUGCUUACGAGGUGAUCUUGAAGAGAAUUUAACAAAAACUGGAAGGAGCAAACGGUUCAAUCAGAAGAUGACCUCCUCGUUUCAAAAGGAGGUUGGGCGUCUCCUAUGUAGUACAGGGCAUGAAUGGAAUAAAGAGUAUACAAUUGAUGGCUACACUGUUGACGCGGUGUUGGUUGACGAGAAGCUUGCAUUUGAAAUAGACGGACCAUCACAUUUCUCAAGGAAUUUAGGUACACCAUUAGGCCACACAGCAUUUAAACGACGUUACAUUGCUGCUGCUGGAUGGAACCUUGUUUCUUUAUCUCAUCAAGAGUGGGAGAACCUCGAAGGCGAGUUUGAGCAAUUGGAAUAUUUGAGGCGGAUUUUAGGUUUUGAUGCAGAAUAAGCCCCAUAGCACCAUAUUUUAGCACAAGCAACACCAUUCUUGAUUCUUGAGAGGGCCAAUACAACCAAGAACUUGUGGAGUGGUGGUAGUCACGCGGAUAAUGGUAUCAGUAACCUUGAAAGCACAUGAGCAGAGUCCUGGCGCUGCUUUUCCCUGUGCAGGUGAAACGAUAGUGUUCAUUCAUAAGCUGUCUUCGAAGUAUUGCUCUUGAAAUCUCCAUCUAUUGAAGGGUCAGAUGAGAGGCUUUUCUUUAUAGCCUUAACGUUAAUGACAAAGGUUUGAGAGAGGAACAUUAGGUUCUGCACCUUACCUUUAUAUUGACGAUUUGAUACUAAUUUAGAUUUUUGUCAAUGGUAUACUGCAGCGGCGAAUUUUUCUGUGAACAUUGUAGUGGCGAAUUUUCUGUGAACAUUGCAGUUAAAGAGUAUACUGAUGGACACAAUUGCUAGUUGGUACAACUGGAGGAUAGAAUAAAUGUAGUCUUCAAAAAAAGAAUAUGCUUCAAUUUUCAUCUAGAGUUACAGUUGAUUAUAUACUACAAUUUAGUUUGUGUUUAUGCUAUUUAAGGUGUAAUGCUUCAUUCUAUUGAUAUACUGUAACCUAUAAUAAAUUCUGCUGGUAUUUUGUUAUAACAUUCAUGCUGAGGAAACAAAGCGUCUUCUAUUA